rnacentral:tRNA from 1 species
GCGGCUAUGGCGGAAUUGGCAGACGCGCAGGAUUUAGGAUCCUGUACCGUAAGGUGUGGGGGUUCAAGUCCCUCUAGCCGCA